AUCACUUGAGAUCGUCCAUCAGAAGUGUUAACAUAGAUCUCUAUGCCGAUGAGGAUUUGGGCAACACACCUAUGAACGAAGAAGUGAAGGAGGAGAUUGUAGUUUACCUAUUCCAGUGAAGGGCAAGAUAGAGACUUUAAAUCAAGCAUUAGAGGAUUAAAAACAUGGCAAGCUAAGCAUGAUUUACAACAUUAUCGGUCAAAUCCGAAAUGGAAACCUAUAAAGUGUCCUCGUCAAUUGGAUUCGGUUGGGUGUGGGUAUUAUGUCCAAAAGUAUAUACAUGAAAUCGUGCAUAAUUCUAUUUAAUACAAAAAAGUGCAUAUACGCAAGAGGAGAUUGACGAGAUUUGAACAAAAUAUGCAAGCUUUGUUAGCCGAUUUGUGUAAGCUUUUACACUUUUUUUUUGUAGUUUAUAAGUUACUAGUACUAAUACUAAUUGUUUUAAUAUAUAAGCUACGAGAUUCUAGUACUACUUGUUGUACAUACUUUAAUUUUCAGGUUUUCUGCUUGUAGUAGU